UCAGCGGCUGUGGGCCGGGCGGGGCGGCGGAGGGGACGAGGAGCGCCGGGGGCCACCAGGUGUGCGGGGGAGGGGCGGCAAAGGGACCGCCCCUCCACCUGCGGGGUCGCCGAGCGCGGGGUGGGCUUCGGGGCCAGCUGUGAGAAACGGAGCGGAGCGGACGUGGGCGCCGAGAGGGCCGGAAUCUCGGCGUGCGGCGAGGUGGGAGUGGAAUGUGAAGAGAAACGGGCCUGCCGCCUGAGGAGAGAGGGACGUAAAGACUAAAAUGUAACUAUUAGGUUUACCGUAAAGGUGAAUCAUUGGAGGGAUUCUUUUGGAUCAGAACUGCAUAAUGUGACUCUCUGAAGGUUUUCCCAGUAAGCAAAUCACAAAAUAAAUAAAUGUGGAAAGAAGCCAGUUUAAGAAAUGAUCUUUAUCAUUGGUAAGUAAAUGAAUAGUGACUACCAUAAAGACACGUGGUAAAGGUAUAAAAACUAUCUGUACGGCUCUCUUUCUUUCUUUCUCUCUCUCUCUCUCUCACACACACACACACACACAUAUGCACACACUGGCGCAUAUGUGCACAUGCACAAAGCUUAUCUGCAGGA